rnacentral:rRNA from 1 species
GAUGAACGCUGGCGGCAGGCUUAACACAUGCAAGUCGAACGAGAUCUUCGGAUCUAGUGGCAGACGGGUGAGGAACACGUGGGAACAUCCCUUUCAGUUCGGAAUAACGUUGGGAAACUAACGCUAAUACCGGAUACGUCCUUCGGGAGAAAGAUUUAUCGCUGAAAGAUUGGCCCGCGUCUGAUUAGCUAGUUGGUGAGGUAACGGCUCACCAAGGCUACGAUCAGUAGCUGAUCUGAGAGGAUGAUCAGCCACAUUGGGACUGAGACACGGCCCAAACUCCUACGGGAGGCAGCAGUGGGGAAUAUUGCACAAUGGGCGCAAGCCUGAUGCAGCGACGCCGCGUGAGGGAUGACGGCCUUCGGGUUGUAAACCUCUUUCAGCACAGACGAAGCGCAAGUGACGGUAUGUGCAGAAGAAGGACCGGCCAACUACGUGCCAGCCGCCGCUGUAA